rfam:Salmo salar isolate Sally breed double haploid chromosome ssa17, whole genome shotgun sequence.
UGUAUUCGCAACUGUAAGUCGCUCUGGAUAAGAGUGUCUGCUAAAUUACUAAAA